GACAGAGGAUGCAAGCGUUAUCCGGAAUUAUUGGGCGUAAAGAGCUCGUAGGCGGUUUGUCGCGUCUGCCGUGAAAGUCCGGGGGCUCAACUCCGGAUCUGCGGUGGGUACGGGCAGACUAGAGUGAUGUAGGGGAGACUGGAAUUCCUGGUGUAGCGGUGAAAUGCGCAGAUAUCAGGAGGAACACCGAUGGCGAAGGCAGGUCUCUGGGCAUUAACUGACGCUGAGGAGCGAAAGCAUGGGGAGCGAACAGG
rnacentral:rRNA from 1 species